GACGAACGCUGGCGGCGUGCCUAAUACAUGCAAGUCGAGCGGACGAAUCGAAAGCUUGCUUUUGAUUCGUUAGCGGCGGACGGGUGAGUAACACGUGGGCAACCUGCCCUGUAGACGGGGAUAACACCGAGAAAUCGGAGCUAAUACCGGAUAACACGAAAUGUCGCAUGACGCUUCGUUGAAAGACGGCGCAAGCUGUCCCUACAGGUUGGGCCCGCGGCGCAUUAGCUAGUUGGUGAGGUAACGGCUCACCAAGGCGACGAUGCGUAGCCGACCUGAGAGGGUGAUCGGCCACACUGGGACUGAGACACGGCCCAGACUCCUACGGGAGGCAGCAGUAGGGAAUCUUCCGCAAUGGGCGAAAGUCUGACGGAGCAACGCCGCGUGAGCGAAGAAGGCCUUCGGGUCGUAAAGCUCUGUUGUUAGGGAAGAACAAGUAACGCAGUAACUGGCGUUACCGUGACGGUACCUAACGAGAAAGCCACGGCUAACUACGUG
rnacentral:rRNA from 1 species